UCUACCAAUUUCAAAUUUCCCACCUUUUUCAAAAAUCGGUCUUUCAAGAACUCUCCUCCUCUAGGAACUCUCCUAAGAUCAAAACUCUUGAAAGCCCCUUUAAAUACCCUUUUCAACUUCUUGAUUUCGGUCAGAUCUUGACUCAAAGAAUUAGGGUUUCGGCUACCUUCAAAUCCCAAGUUCGUGCUCUCUUUGAUUCCAAGGUUUCAACUCUUAAAUUCGAAGCCCUAUAAUUCAUCACAAGUCCACGUGGCUAGCUCUUCCUCUUCAAACUCGGGCAGCGAGUCUGGCACACGGAGAGUCGCAGGUUGAUG